rnacentral:rRNA from 1 species
UUUUAUGGAGAGUUUGAUCCUGGCUCAGAGUGAACGCUGGCGGCGUGCCUAAUACAUGCAAGUCGAACGAUGAAGCUUCUAGCUUGCUAGAAGUGGAUUAGUGGCGCACGGGUGAGUAACGCAUAGGUCAUGUGCCUCUUAGUUUGGGAUAGCCAUUGGAAACGAUGAUUAAUACCAGAUACUCCCUACGGGGGAAAGAUUUAUCGCUAAGAGAUCAGCCUAUGUCCUAUCAGCUUGUUGGUAAGGUAAUGGCUUACCAAGGCUAUGACGGGUAUCCGGCCUGAGAGGGUGAACGGACACACUGGAACUGAGACACGGUCCAGACUCCUACGGGAGGCAGCAGUAGGGAAUAUUGCUCAAUGGGGGAAACCCUGAAGCAGCAACGCCGCGUGGAGGAUGAAGGUUUUAGGAUUGUAAACUCCUUUUGUUAGAGAAGAUAAUGACGGUAUCUAACGAAUAAGCACCGGCUAACUCCGUGCCAGCAGCCGCGGUAAUACGGAGGGUGCAAGCGUUACUCGGAAUCACUGGGCGUAAAGAGCGCGUAGGCGGGAUAGUCAGUCAGGUGUGAAAUCCUAUGGCUUAACCAUAGAACUGCAUUUGAAACUACUAUUCUAGAGUGUGGGAGAGGUAGGUGGAAUUCUUGGUGUAGGGGUAAAAUCCGUAGAGAUCAAGAGGAAUACUCAUUGCGAAGGCGACCUGCUAGAACAUUACUGACGCUGAUUGCGCGAAAGCGUGGGGAGCAAACAGGAUUAGAUACCCUGGUAGUCCACGCCCUAAACGAUGGAUGCUAGUUGUUGGAGGGCUUAGUCUCUCCAGUAAUGCAGCUAACGCAUUAAGCAUCCCGCCUGGGGAGUACGGUCGCAAGAUUAAAACUCAAAGGAAUAGACGGGGACCCGCACAAGCGGUGGAGCAUGUGGUUUAAUUCGAAGAUACACGAAGAACCUUACCUAGGCUUGACAUUGAGAGAAUCCGCUAGAAAUAGUGGAGUGUCUGGCUUGCCAGACCUUGAAAACAGGUGCUGCACGGCUGUCGUCAGCUCGUGUCGUGAGAUGUUGGGUUAAGUCCCGCAACGAGCGCAACCCCCUUUCUUAGUUGCUAACAGGUCAUGCUGAGAACUCUAAGGAUACUGCCUCCGUAAGGAGGAGGAAGGUGGGGACGACGUCAAGUCAUCAUGGCCCUUACGCCUAGGGCUACACACGUGCUACAAUGGGGUGCACAAAGAGAAGCAAUACUGCGAAGUGGAGCCAAUCUUCAAAACACCUCUCAGUUCGGAUUGUAGGCUGCAACUCGCCUGCAUGAAGCUGGAAUCGCUAGUAAUCGCAAAUCAGCCAUGUUGCGGUGAAUACGUUCCCGGGUCUUGUACUCACCGCCCGUCACACCAUGGGAGUUGUGUUUGCCUUAAGUCAGGAUGCUAAAUUGGCUACUGCCCACGGCACACACAGCGACUGGGGUGAAGUCGUAACAAGGUAACCGUAGGUGAACCUGCGGUUGGAUCACCUCCUUUCUAGA